rnacentral:rRNA from 1 species
GGUUAAGCGACUAAGCGUACACGGUGGAUGCCCUGGCAGUCAGAGGCGAUGAAGGACGUGCUAAUCUGCGAUAAGCGUCGGUAAGGUGAUAUGAACCGUUAUAACCGGCGAUUUCCGAAUGGGGAAACCCAGUGUGUUUCGACACACUAUCAUUAACUGAAUCCAUAGGUUAAUGAGGCGAACCGGGGGAACUGAAACAUCUAAGUACCCCGAGGAAAAGAAAUCAACCGAGAUUCCCCCAGUAGCGGCGAGCGAACGGGGAGCAGCCCAGAGCCUGAAUCAGUAUGUGUGUUAGUGGAAGCGUCUGGAAAGGCGCGCGAUACAGGGUGACAGCCCCGUACACAAAAAUGCACAUGCUGUGAGCUCGAUGAGUAGGGCGGGACACGUGGUAUCCUGUCUGAAUAUGGGGGGACCAUCCUCCAAGGCUAAAUACUCCUGACUGACCGAUAGUGAACCAGUACCGUGAGGGAAAGGCGAAAAGAACCCCGGCGAGGGGAGUGAAAAAGAACCUGAAACCGUGUACGUACAAGCAGUGGGAGCACGCUUAGGCGUGUGACUGCGUACCUUUUGUAUAAUGGGUCAGCGACUUAUAUUCUGUAGCAAGGUUAACCGAAUAGGGGAGCCGAAGGGAAACCGAGUCUUAACUGGGCGUUAAGUUGCAGGGUAUAGACCCGAAACCCGGUGAUCUAGCCAUGGGCAGGUUGAAGGUUGGGUAACACUAACUGGAGGACCGAACCGACUAAUGUUGAAAAAUUAGCGGAUGACUUGUGGCUGGGGGUGAAAGGCCAAUCAAACCGGGAGAUAGCUGGUUCUCCCCGAAAGCUAUUUAGGUAGCGCCUCGUGAAUUCAUCUCCGGGGGUAGAGCACUGUUUCGGCAAGGGGGUCAUCCCGACUUACCAACCCGAUGCAAACUGCGAAUACCGGAGAAUGUUAUCACGGGAGACACACGGCGGGUGCUAACGUCCGUCGUGAAGAGGGAAACAACCCAGACCGCCAGCUAAGGUCCCAAAGUCAUGGUUAAGUGGGAAACGAUGUGGGAAGGCCCAGACAGCCAGGAUGUUGGCUUAGAAGCAGCCAUCAUUUAAAGAAAGCGUAAUAGCUCACUGGUCGAGUCGGCCUGCGCGGAAGAUGUAACGGGGCUAAACCAUGCACCGAAGCUGCGGCAGCGACGCUUAUGCGUUGUUGGGUAGGGGAGCGUUCUGUAAGCCUGCGAAGGUGUGCUGUGAGGCAUGCUGGAGGUAUCAGAAGUGCGAAUGCUGACAUAAGUAACGAUAAAGCGGGUGAAAAGCCCGCUCGCCGGAAGACCAAGGGUUCCUGUCCAACGUUAAUCGGGGCAGGGUGAGUCGACCCCUAAGGCGAGGCCGAAAGGCGUAGUCGAUGGGAAACAGGUUAAUAUUCCUGUACUUGGUGUUACUGCGAAGGGGGGACGGAGAAGGCUAUGUUGGCCGGGCGACGGUUGUCCCGGUUUAAGCGUGUAGGCUGGUUUUCCAGGCAAAUCCGGAAAAUCAAGGCUGAGGCGUGAUGACGAGGCACUACGGUGCUGAAGCAACAAAUGCCCUGCUUCCAGGAAAAGCCUCUAAGCAUCAGGUAACAUCAAAUCGUACCCCAAACCGACACAGGUGGUCAGGUAGAGAAUACCAAGGCGCUUGAGAGAACUCGGGUGAAGGAACUAGGCAAAAUGGUGCCGUAACUUCGGGAGAAGGCACGCUGAUAUGUAGGUGAAGUCCCUUGCGGAUGGAGCUGAAAUCAGUCGAAGAUACCAGCUGGCUGCAACUGUUUAUUAAAAACACAGCACUGUGCAAACACGAAAGUGGACGUAUACGGUGUGACGCCUGCCCGGUGCCGGAAGGUUAAUUGAUGGGGUCAGCGCAAGCGAAGCUCUUGAUCGAAGCCCCGGUAAACGGCGGCCGUAACUAUAACGGUCCUAAGGUAGCGAAAUUCCUUGUCGGGUAAGUUCCGACCUGCACGAAUGGCGUAAUGAUGGCCAGGCUGUCUCCACCCGAGACUCAGUGAAAUUGAACUCGCUGUGAAGAUGCAGUGUACCCGCGGCAAGACGGAAAGACCCCGUGAACCUUUACUAUAGCUUGACACUGAACAUUGAGCCUUGAUGUGUAGGAUAGGUGGGAGGCUUUGAAGUGUGGACGCCAGUCUGCAUGGAGCCGACCUUGAAAUACCACCCUUUAAUGUUUGAUGUUCUAACGUUGACCCGUAAUCCGGGUUGCGGACAGUGUCUGGUGGGUAGUUUGACUGGGGCGGUCUCCUCCUAAAGAGUAACGGAGGAGCACGAAGGUUGGCUAAUCCUGGUCGGACAUCAGGAGGUUAGUGCAAUGGCAUAAGCCAGCUUGACUGCGAGCGUGACGGCGCGAGCAGGUGCGAAAGCAGGUCAUAGUGAUCCGGUGGUUCUGAAUGGAAGGGCCAUCGCUCAACGGAUAAAAGGUACUCCGGGGAUAACAGGCUGAUACCGCCCAAGAGUUCAUAUCGACGGCGGUGUUUGGCACCUCGAUGUCGGCUCAUCACAUCCUGGGGCUGAAGUAGGUCCCAAGGGUAUGGCUGUUCGCCAUUUAAAGUGGUACGCGAGCUGGGUUUAGAACGUCGUGAGACAGUUCGGUCCCUAUCUGCCGUGGGCGCUGGAGAACUGAGGGGGGCUGCUCCUAGUACGAGAGGACCGGAGUGGACGCAUCACUGGUGUUCGGGUUGUCAUGCCAAUGGCACUGCCCGGUAGCUAAAUGCGGAAGAGAUAAGUGCUGAAAGCAUCUAAGCACGAAACUUGCCCCGAGAUGAGUUCUCCCUGACUCCUUGAGAGUCCUGAAGGAACGUUGAAGACGACGACGUUGAUAGGCCGGGUGUGUAAGCGCAGCGAUGCGUUGAGCUAACCGGUACUAAUGAACCGUGAGGCUUAACCUU